CAGUAGCCGCGGUAAUACGUAGGGUGCGAGCGUUAAUCGGAAUUACUGGGCGUAAAGCGUGCGCAGGCGGUUGUGUAAGACAGGUGUGAAAUCCCCGGGCUUAACCUGGGAACUGCGCUUGUGACUGCACAGCUAGAGUAUGGCAGAGGGGGGUGGAAUUCCACGUGUAGCAGUGAAAUGCGUAGAGAUGUGGAGGAACACCGAUGGCGAAGGCAGCCCCCUGGGCCAAUACUGACGCUCAUGUGCGAAAGCGUGGGGAGCAAACAGGAUUAGAUACCCCCGUAGUCCCUGUCUCUUAUAA
rnacentral:rRNA from 1 species